rnacentral:rRNA from 1 species
CAAUAGCGUAUAUUAAAGUUGUUGCAGUUAAAAGCUCGUAGUUGGAUUUCUGUUCUCGAGGAUCGGUCCGCCUCACGGUGAGCACUGGUUUUUCUUGGGGACAUCCUCUCGAAGGCGGGUGGUGCACUUAAUUGUGUGCUGCUUGGAUUCGGGACCUUUACUUUGAAAAAUUAGAGUGUUCAAAGCAGGCGUCGGCUUGAAUACAUUAGCAUGGAAUAAUGGAAUAGGACUUUGGUUCUAUUUUGUUGGUUUCUAGGACCGAAGUAAUGAUUAAUAGGGACAGUUGGGGGCGUCAGUAUUCUGAAGCGAGAGGUGAAAUUCUUGGACCUUCGGAAGACUAACAACUGCGAAAGCAUUCGCCUAGGAUGUUCUCUUUAAUCAAGAACGAAAGUUAGGGGGAGUCAAAGACGAUCAGAUACCAU